rnacentral:misc_RNA from 1 species
UCCGAGUUGACCCCGGCAGUCUUCGAUGAGUCCCCGGCAUAACCCGCUGGCAACAUCGAACGAGGGUCGCGCUCGUUGCGGGACUUAACCCAACAUCUCACGACACGAGCUGACGACAGCCAUGCACCACCUGUGAAGGUGCCCCGAAGGGAGACCGUGUUUCCACGGUUGUCACCCACAUGUCAAGCCCAGGUAAGGUUCUACGCGUUGCGUCGAAUUAAACCACAUGCUCCGCUGCUUGUGCGGGUCCCCGUCAAUUCCUUUGAGUUUUAGCCUUGCGGCCGUACUCCCCAGGCGGGGCACUUAAUGCGUUAGCGCCGGCACGGGGGGAGUCGACACCCCCCACACCUAGUGCCCAUCGUUUACGGCGUGGACUAC